CCCUGAGCAGGCUGCAAGUCACUAUAGCUCCUGAGGAAAAUGGCUAUUUACGGCUACAUACCUGUUUUCCAAAGCUUGUAACACCCUGGAAGUCAAUUUUAUAUGGAAGUCAAUGUCCCGGUGCAGCUGGAGCGCCUGAUAUCGGUUGAUUCUGGGUCCUGGUGAGAGAUUCUGGGACUUGACGAUUGAGGCCUACCCGGGAGGGGAGUGUUGCGGAUGGCCACUGCCACGCUUUUCACCCUGGCUAAUGCUACAUUAUGACUUACUUGAUUCCUGCCUGGCCCCGCUCACCCCACCUUUGGACCGGCGGGGGUUAUCCCGGUCCCCACAGCUCCCACUCCUGCACCAAAGACCAGCGGGAACAUUUUGAAUGGCCCAGCUUCCGUGCAUGGUAAACAGGACUGGUCUCUACUACUGCCUGAGGACACCCCUCGCACCACAGCCUCACUUCUAGGAGAAACACCAAAGCCGGGAUCUCUGUUGCUGGCCAAUCGACGAGCCAGAAUUGGGGGCACAUGUAGUACGCUCAUGCAGUGUCUGGGGCCAGCGGAGUGGCACUUACCAGACCUGCCUGUGUGUCUGGAUUUCACAAGCAUUACAACUUAGUAGUAAACAGGAG